GACCCCCGCGGGGUGCGAGGUCCCAGCCCGGCCCCCUUGGAGCCCCUCCUCCGCAUUCGCUCCGCGGGUCCUUCGCCGAAAAGGAGCUGGGAGUGAAGGAAGGGCCCAGGGCGCUACUCUGCUGCCCUUCUUGCGGGGCUCCGACUCUGUGUGGUGUGGGUUUAUCGCCCCGGCCUCAGGCAGGUGGCGGCUGCUCCUCUAGGGUUUAUCAAAAACGGGGAAAGGGACACCGAGUCCCUCAGUCCUGGGAGAAGAAUGCUGAGCGGGAUUCACGUCCCUGGACGAGAAGUUUUCCUUUCCGGGGGCUUGAACUCACAACCUUGAGAUCUAGACCUGGGCUGAGAUUAAGAGCCGGACAUCUAACUGAACCACCCAAGCACCCCUGUGACUCUUGACUAAAAGAAUAUAAGCCUGUAUCCUGAGAUCUGAACACCUAACCACAUUGUGCAUGUAAACCACAGCUUUUUUUAGUUUUCCAGGAUCAGGUCAGAGGGACUCAACACCCAGAAAGACAGUAAUGGUAUAGAAGGGAAAGCUUUGGGAGGGACUGGGCGAGGUAAAACCAUCACCUUACAGAGAAAAUAUGUUGCUUUUGACCACGAGUUCAAUGUUAAUAAAUCAAUGAUAUAUAUUAAAUAAGGUUUCUUUAAACAGAAACACACAUAAAA